rnacentral:lncRNA from 1 species
AUGUUCGUCUCCCUCCUAUAUCACGUCACCUGGCUGUUAUGUUCUAGUCCCUCCUCAUAUCACGUCACCUGGCUGUUAUGUUCCAGUCCCUCCUCAUAUCACGUCACCUGGUGUUAUGUUCUAGUCCCUCUCACUUACGUACCUGGCUGUUAUGUUCUAGUCCUCCUCAUGUCCGUCACCUGGCUGUUAUGUUCUAGUCCCUCCUCAUGUCACCUGGCUGCAUGUUCUGAGAAGUUUAAGUAUUGGGACAUAGACUCAAGUGUGUGUUUUUUUGGUUUUACUAUCCUUGUAGGGACCAGACGUCCUGACAAUGAUAGUAAAACAAGGAACAUCUAUACAAAAUGGGGACAUUUCACAGGUCCCCACAAGGGAAAAGGCAAUUUAAUGCUUAGGGUUAGAAUUAGGGGUAAGGCUUAGGGAAACUGAUAUUUUAAAUGGGAAACAAUUGUUUAGACCGACAAGGACAUUAAAACAAACGUGUGCUUGUGUGAGUAAUCAGGUUCGGAGGUAAUGAUUAACACAAGGAACACUGACUAACUAACAUUGUGACCAGAUAAACAGUAAACAGUGGUUAUCCAAAGCCUGAUUGAUGGAAGGCUGUGGGGUACAAAUGGGUAUCUGACGCUAUCACUGUGGUCAGAUAAACAGGGAAGUCCACUAACCCAAAGUCUGAUGCAAGAGGGUGCAGUAAAACUGUGAAAGCCGUUCCUGGUCGAUUUCCUCUCUGGAACCAGCUCAUACCAGGGUUUGAUUCAUUUGUUCAGUAACCCAUUUCUGUUGUAGGGCCUUGCAUACAGAGCAGAGGUUUAUGUCUGAGCAAAUAAACGUAUGUACAUGUGUAGAGGAGGUGGCGUGGGUCACCUAGGCUUUAGCUCAGAGGGCUAGUACAGUCCAAGUCACAUUGGCAACCUGGGUUCAAUACAACGUCUGCUGUAUCCACGCAUGCAGGAUGCACGUAAUCUAUCGAGAACAAUAAAAGGUAUCUGAUGAAAGUCACACCUCGCCCUGACAUAGCCAAUCACAACCUGUGGAAGCCUGAGGCGGCCAAUCACCUGACCGCUGUGUCAUUAGACUUGAUAAAUCAGUCAUUUAUGACUCUGCAAAGACAGACACAACCAGCCAGCCGUUAAUACUGUACUUGUGCCAGGGGACUUUUACAGUGAACAAUAUAAAAGUGACGUCCCCCUGUUGACAAUGUCCAACCACUACUGACUCAGUCAAUACACAGAGCAGUGUAUCUCUUUCCAUUAUAGAUGUUGGGGCGGGACAACCGUUUACCUCUGUUGCCGACUCCCAAACUAAAACAACUUGGCUUCAAUUUGGUUUGAAAAGACCUUGGAUGUUGUUUUGGGGAAUUCUGUGCUCCUUCCAUAGAACAAUGGAGAGAAAACACCCGUUGACCUUCGGCAGCAUGGUUUGGAACAGUAGUGCAACUACUGUACUGCUGGUGGUCAAGGAGGUACAUGUCGAGAGACACAAGACAUCAAUCUGAUGCAUGCAGGGGAGGGGGGGGGUAUUCAUGCACGCACACACUCCUGAUCAUGACCCCAAAGGAUGCGUUUCUCACAUUGUAGUAGAUUACCCUCAGAAAACACACACAUCUAGGCCUAUCUAAUCCAGGUACAGUAUAUUGACACACACAGGUCCAUCUGACAGUUUAAAGGUUAUUAGGACAACCCCUGUUCAUCACCUUAAAACACUACACCAUUUGCACUUAGCAGCUCACCAAGAUGCACAAACAACCCCAGGCAGGCAGCAUCUGGAAAUAGUAUCCACUGGAAGAGUAUGCCUGAAAAGGUUAAAUCUGGAGUGGCUGAAAACAGCAGUGUGUGUGUGUGUGUGUGUUGAUAAAAUACUUUCCAUAGUGUGAGCUGCUCAAACAAAAGGGGAAUGUGAUGGGUCCACACUCAAAAAGGAUGUUGCAUAAUGCUUACUUCAUUACUCAAUGUUUUUAAUUAUUUUCACUGCAUCAGGGAUAGGGUACACAGACGUUUCGGCUUUACAGCCUUCAUCAGCGUGUUGUGUGAGCUGCUUCCAUGUGUAUUUGUUGAAUAGAUCACAUUAAAAUAUAUUUUUCAAAAGUGAUUUGUAUCCUCUUUUAAUGAGAAGGCACACACACACACAACUCAAAAGUGUGCGUGCGCACGCACACACACACACACACACACAUUGCUGCUCCUUGUGAAUAUUGAUUUCACUCCCAGCUGCACAAACACUGACAGCUCUCUCAAUGCGAUAACAGAAACACCAAACUGGCCUGUGAUCCAUGUUCUGUUCUAAUUAUUUUGGCCCACAUCCUGACAGGCUCUGACAAGCUACACUGCUCUCUAGUUGACAGUCAGAGAACUGCAGUGCCAACAUUGACUGAGCCUUUCUGACAAAAAUGGGACAAAUAAAGCAUUGGGAAGAGAUGAAGCCCGAGUACAGACUUUGUUUAGUAAACACACAGACGAACACACGAGCAGAAGGCAAUGUUACGUGAGAGCGGUUCAGCUGGAGUCCGUUGUGGACAGAGACAUGACAAACCUGAUCUACAACGACUCCACAGCUCAGACACUCACUGGUCUAAGCAACAAAGGGAGAAUCGCAUUGUGAUGUUACAAUAGCACAGGAGUUCUGUAUGGAGUCAAUCACAGAGGAGUUCUUUAUGAUGUCACAAUCACACAGGACAGAACGCUCACACAGGUGCUGCUUGAGGUCACCAGCUGUUUCCAUUAACUUGUCCAGUGAUUUCUCGAUUUAGAAAGUUUGCAUAGAAAAUACAUGUGACAAUUGCCUGCUUAGGGUGCGUUUCCAUUGAACCAUCUUGUGUCGAUGAAAACAGCUGGACAUAAUGAUACCACACCUAAAAAAUAAGUUGACGCAAAAACCUAGUGUUGAAUAAAAAUGUUGUGGUUGAAGUGUUUUCAUUACCCCUUUAGGCAAAUUGGGUAUCAAUACAUUUCCCUCCCACCUAUCUGUUUCAUGUCUCAGGUAGUCCGCGAAAGCCAGCAUGGAUAGAAUGUAAUAAAUGACUAAUAUUUGCCAUAUUCUUAUAAUCAUCAUGUGCCAUCGUAUCGCCCAUGGACUGUGCCAUGGUGAGACUUGCACUCCUGUAGAUCUGAAAUAAUUGCGAGGUGAAACUUGCCAGCCAACCAGAAAAGCAAGGCGAAGCAAUUCAGGCAUUCUUGAAAGUCAGGACAACACUUCCCUGCAAAGAAAAAUGCUUGUAGUUGAAAAAAAUAAAAUAGUUUUUCGCAAGACCUAGGCAUUUACAAUUAUGCCGCAUUCAAAACAACUGGAAGCUCGGAACUCCGAAAUAGCAGACUUCAGUGCGAAACUGGGAACUCUGGGGGGGAAAAACAAGCUCUAACUGGGCAAAAAAAAUUGAAAUUUGUACAGCCAUCCGACUCGGAAACUCUGGCCUCUUUCUAGAACUCUGACUUUCUGACCUGAGGAUCACUAAUGUCAUGAUUUGACCUAUUUUUCCGAGGUCCCAGUUGUUUUAAAUGCGGUAUCUAUUGUGGAGUGAGCUUUAUAGUUAUGCAGUGACAUCAUGUGCCCUGCGUACCUUCAAAAUUAUUUGUCAAUCAUAAUUUAUUCAAAAAACACAGUUUCCAUCGUCAUUUGAUGAAGAAAUUUAGAAAUUUAGAACCAGGAACAGAUAUAGCCCUUGGUUCUCYCCAGACCUGACUGCCCUUAACCAACACAAAAACAUCCUAUGGGGUUCUGCAUUAGCAUCAAACAGCCCCCGUGAUAUGCAACUUUUCAGGGAAGCUAGAAACCAUUAUACACAGGCAGUUAGAAAAGCCAAGGCUAGCUUUUUCAAGCAGAAAUUUGCUUCCUGCAACACAAACUCAAAAAAGUUCUGGGACACUAAAGUCCAUGGAGAAUAAGAACAUCUCCCAGCUGCCCACUGCACUGAGGAUAGGCAACUCUGUCACCACCAAAAAAUCCACUAUAAUUGAGAAUUUCAAUAAGCAUUUUUCUACGGCUGGCCAUGCUUUCCACCUGGCUACCCCUACCCCGGUUAACAGCACUGCACCCCCCACAGCAACUCGCCCAAGCCUUCCCCAUUUCUCCUUCUCCCAAAUCCAGUCAGCUGAUGUUCUGAAAGAGCUGCAAAAUCUGGACCCCUACAAAUCAGCCGGGCUAGACAAUCUGGAUCCUUUCUUUCUAAAAUGAUCUGCCAAAAUUGUUGCAACCCCUAUUACUAGCCUGUUCAACCUCUCUUUCGUGUCGUCUGAGAUUCCCAAAGAUUGGAAAGCAGCUGCGGUCAUCCACCUCUUCAAAGGGGGAGGACACAUUUGACCCAAACUGCUACAGACCUAUAUCUAUCCUACCCUGCUUUUCUAAGGUCUUCGAAAGCCAAGUCAACAAACAGAUUACCGACCAUUUCGAAU